CGAAUCAAACCGGAAUUCAAUCUUUCUUUCAGCGGCUCGAAGAUGUUAAAAGCUUAUGGUUUGAUAUUUGAUUGUAUGAAGAUUGUGUAGCUCGUUGGAGAUUCAGAAGUAAAUGUUGCUAAUGCUUCUUUGACAGCGCCGCUGGGCCUCCCUGUCUGCUCCAUCAUGCCGCUGGUGGUGGACGCCGUGUGGGCAGUGUGGAGCAUCACAGCCGGGAUCUACGACUACUUCCACACCAGUGCCAUGGAGGAGAGGAUCCACACGCUGGAAAACGUCCUCUCUAUCCAUCAAUUUGUGAUCGCAGGCCUGUCGGCUGGCCUCAUCCUCCUCAUGACAUACAUAUUAUGGAGAAAACACUGAAACCCAGACCUGGGCCAAGAACACUCUAGAUGUUUGGUUUUAAGUGGCCAUCUCAUGUUACUAAAAGACAGACAGCUUGAUUCCAUCACUCUGCUCACACUUGAUGAUCAUACCGGUCUGAAAAUGAGCUACAACUGAACAAGGGAAAUGAAGAUUCAUAAUGUGUCAGUUUACCUAAAACUCAUGUGGUUUAGAGACUCUGUGGUCUGUUUCUGUCUCAGAGGGUCCUCACAAGGUAUCUGCAGAUUAUUGUUCACUUUCAUAUAAAAUGGUUACAGCUUCUUAAGGAAAUAUUGCACUUUCACUGGAAAUCACUGUCUGAGAUAAUGGACUGUCAGAGAUUUUGCCAUUUUAGUUAAGGAAAGCUUUUUUGGAGUUGCCAACACUAAUUUUAUUCACAACUCAACUGUUCUUCAUCCUUUCAAGAGCAAAUGUUUUUGUGGUCCAUUAUUUUUAGAUGUUUAAUUCAUAAUUUUGACAUUAACAUACAUAUCAUGAUCUAGACUUAAUAUUUUAUAACUUGAUACAUUGUCAAAAGGGUACAAAAUAUGCAGGUUUGUCCUGUCAUUUCUGCUAAGGGAUGCCUUGAUUUAUUGAUGAAACCGACUCUUGAUAGACUGGAAAGUUAGUUUUUACAGUGAAGAAAUUAAGUUGACUGAGCAGCAUCUGAAAUCUUUACAUAAUAUAUGUUUUGUCUUGGAUGUAUGGCUUAAAAGCAAAAUAUGAUUUAUAAUGUUGUUGCCCUUAGCCUUAAAGGGUACAUAUUGUGUCUUACUCAUUUAUAAAAUGGGUCCAGGGGCUUGAAAAAUAAUGUUACAUUAUCAAAACUUACAUAAGUUACUCAGACCGAUCUGAACACAUAAACCAUCCUGGCACCCUAUCAAGGUGUCUGCAUGAUGGUAUCCAUGGCACCAAUGAGAAAGGGUCGUGGGCAGUAGCUCAUCUGAAUUUGAAUUACAUCUGAAUAACAAUGUCCACUUUAAAGAAAAUUGGGCCAUUAUAGAUGCUAUGUUUUCACUAUCAAUCUCAUUCACCACUGAAAUUUUAAAGGUAACUGGGGUCAGACUAUGUUGUAUUUCAGAUUAUGUUGCGCUUUAACUGGGAAAGUGAUGAUGUGAUUAAACUGGAGGUGAAAGUGGGCUGCUCUCAUUUUUUAGCAUUGUGUUGCACUACUGCAGUUAACAGAAUUAGCGCAAAAUCAUUGGUGUAGGUUUUUAAAUAUUCAUGAUUAACUCAUGAAUUUGUAUAUCUACAUCAUUACUUUUCUGAUAAAUUGUUCAUGAUAUGGAAAGGGGAUGGUUUCUGUCAAAUUUGAGUUGUUAGUGUCUAAUGUAUGUUGGAAAACCAGGGUUUGUGUGUCGAGGUUAUUUGUCUAUACUUGCAUUUUUACCAACACUGUUCCUGUCUGCGUCCAUCUGCACAUUACACACGUCUUAAGUGUUAGAAAUAUGUUCUACAUUUAAUGAUGUAGUGGCUCUUGUGUUUUGCUUUCCGGGGUUUGUUGCCAGUGAAUUAUAUGCACUACUGUACGUUACCACUACUGUGGCCUCUGAAAGGGAAUAUGUUACAAUAAUAAAUCAUUUAAUCUCAAGAUGUUGUUUUUGACUUUUAGGAAACUCUUUAUCAGAUGAUGAAAUACUUUUCAAAUAAGUCACAGGGAUGCACAAGUAAGUAUUUUAAUUUAUCUCCUGUUUGAUGGAUUAAUCGGACUCUAAAAU